rnacentral:rRNA from 1 species
UUACCUGGUUGAUCCUGCCAGUAGUCAUAUGCUUGUCUCAAAGAUUAAGCCAUGCAUGUCUAAGUACAGGCCCAUUUAAGGCGAAACCGCGAAUGGCUCAUUAAAUCAGUUAUGGUUCAUUGGAUCUUACCUUUUCCUACUUGGAUAACUGUGGUAAUUCUAGAGCUAAUACAUGCAAGAAAGCCCCGACCGGCGACGGGAAGGGCGCUUUUAUUAGAUCAAAACCAAUCGGGCUCUCGGGUCCGUCCUCACGUGGUGACUCUGAAUAACUUUUGGCCGAGCGCACGGUCUUAGCACCGGCGCCGCAUCCUUCAAGUGUCUGCCUUAUCAGCUUUCGAUUGUAGGUUAUGCGCCUACAAUGGCUAUAACGGGUAACGGGGAAUCAGGGUUCGAUUCCGGAGAGGGAGCCUGAGAAACGGCUACCACAUCUAAGGAAGGCAGCAGGCACGCAAAUUACCCACUCCCGGCACGGGGAGGUAGUGACGAAAAAUAACGAUGCGGGACUCUUUUGAGGCCUCGCAAUCGGAAUGAGUACACUUUAAAUCCUUUAACGAGGAUCUAUUGGAGGGCAAGUCUGGUGCCAGCAGCCGCGGUAAUUCCAGCUCCAAUAGCGUAUAUUAAAGUUGCUGCGGUUAAAAAGCUCGUAGUUGGAUUCUAGUCACGGAGCGACGGUUCACCGCCCGGUGAUUACUGUCUGCUUGUCCGGACGUGUGGGUCGGCGUGGCACGGGGUGCUCUUCACCGAGUGUCCCGGCGCCGCCGGCGAGUUUACUUUGAAAAAAUUAGAGUGCUCAGAGCAGGCGUAUUCACGCCUGAAUAGUUGUGCAUGGAAUAAUGGAAUAGGACCUCGGUUCUAUUUUCCGUUGGUUUUCGGAACCCGAGGUAAUGACUAAUAGGAACAGUCGGGGGCAUUCGUAUUGCGACGUUAGAGGUGAAAUUCUUGGAUCGUCGCAAGACGAACUACUGCGAAAGCAUUUUGCCAAGAUU